rnacentral:rRNA from 1 species
GAUGAACGCUGGCGGCGUGCCUAACACAUGCAAGUCGAACGGGGUAGCAAUACCCAGUGGCGGACGGAUGAGUAACGCGUGAGAAUCUAUCUCCAGGACGGGGACAACAGUUGGAAACGACUGCUAAUACCCGAUAUGCCGAAAGGUGAAACUUAUUUGGCCUGAAGGAGAGCUCGCGUCUGAUUAGCUAGUUGGUGGGGUAAGAGCCCACCAAGGCGACGAUCAGUAGCUGGUCUGAGAGGAUGAGCAGCCACACUGGGACUGAGACACGGCCCAGACUCCUACGGGAGGCAGCAGUGGGGAAUUUUCCGCAAUGGGCGAAAGCCUGACGGAGCAACGCCGCGUGAGGGAGGAAGGUCCUUGGAUUGUAAACCUCUUUUCUCGAGGAAGAAGUCAGUGACGGUACUCGAGGAAUCAGCCUCGGCUAACUCCGUGCCAGCAGCCGCGGUAAUACGGGGGAGGCAAGCGUUAUCCGGAAUUAUUGGGCGUAAAGCGUCCGCAGGUGGUUAUCCAAGUCUGCCGUCAAAGCGUGGGGCUUAACUCCAUAAAGGCGGUGGAAACUGGAAGACUAGAGAGCAGUAGGGG